UCCUCUGACACUUCCGCUUCCGGGACCCCAUUCACCGGAAAGAGCUCUGGCCCAAGCCCCGCGCCCACCCUGGGGCACAGCCCGCGCUCCCCCUGCCCCGCCGGGCUUCGGAAUCUGAAGUGGGGCAGCGCCGGGCGGACGGCGCCGGAGGAGAGGGGCAAGGCUGGAUCCGCGUGCUCAGUAGCCUCGCGGCGCUGCUGCGUGCGCAGCCCAGGCAGCGGUGCCUGCCCAGAGCAAGGGGGCCGCAGACGUGCAGCCGGCGCGAUGCGCCCUGUGCGGCAGCGUUACCGCUGGGGCCUUACUUCUCUAGCAGAAAAGGGAUUUUUCUCUAAAACUUGCUAUGUGCAGCAAUAAGACAAGUGAUUCAGGCCUUUGUAACCUCAAGCAUUCAUUUACCCUAGAGUUCUACUUUGGCCUACUUUUGAAGAGCAUGUCAGCCGGCACAAUGCAACAGCUUAAAUUUGAGAUGUAAAAUCUCCUUCAAGAGUCGAACCAAUCCAAAGAAGUUUGUAUCCAUCACAGUUCUCAUCUCAUCUAUGGUCUGGCAUUCAAUAGGUCCAAUGAGCCCCAUUCCAGCAUUGCUAACUGUACAGAUGCAAAACACAGUAGAAAGGGUAAGGGAAAAAAUGAGCAAAAACUUCUCUAAACACCUCUACCCCGAUAUAACGCGACCCGCUAUAACACAAAUUCGGAUAUAACGCGGUAAAGCAGUGCUCCAGGGAGGUGGGGCUGCACACUCCAGCGGAUCAAAGCAAGUUCGAUAUAACGCAGUUUCACCUAUAACACGCAUUCCACUAAGUGUCUGGAAGUCAUUACUGUCUGAUGUCACAUCUUCAUCUACAAUGUAUGUAAGGGGAUCGAAUGAAGAUUCAUUCAAACUGUUUGAUGGAGUAUGAAGAAAAUCCUUUUGACUCUCUGGAAACAUUGAGGGCUUUAAUGAAGAGUGAUAUUGCAUUGGCAAAUUCCCCAUAGAAAGAAAGAGUGGAACAAGAGAAUAAUAA